UACGGGGGGGGCAAGCGUUGUUCGGAAUUACUGGGCGUAAAGGGCUCGUAGGCGGCCAACUAAGUCGGAUGUGAAAUCCCCAGGCUCAACUUGGGAACUGCAUCCGAUACUGGAUGGCUUGAAUUCGGGAGAGGGAUGCAGAAUUCCAGGUGUAGCGGUGAAAUGCGCAGAUAUCAGGAGGAACACCGGUGGCGAAGGCGGUGGUCUGGGCCGGCACUGACGCUGAGGAGCGAAAGCGUGGGGAGCAAACAGG
rnacentral:rRNA from 1 species